AAUCCCGUGUAGGUUAGAGAGAGAGGGAGAGAGGGAGAAUGCUGAGCGAGAAACGAAGAGAGAGAGAGAGAGAGGGAGAAGAGGAGCAGGAACAUAAAAAUUUCCAUCUUUCGCCCCAAGUAUCCGUACAUUUACUGUUUUGCCAUCCAUCCUUGGAAAUUUCCUCUCUUUAAACUCCUUAUUCCCGAAUCGAGGUGGGAUUUAUUUUUGUUCCUUUAAUGAGUCGUUUAGGGUUUAAAUCGGUGGUUUAUCACGGAGACGUUUGUUUGGGAGAACUGGACACUAUCCCUGUCUCGGACAGGAAUUUCCAGUUCCCAAACAACGAAAUUCGAAUCCACCACAUCUCCCCACCCAGCGAACGAUGCAUUCCUCUUUCCGUUCUCCACACCGUUUCCUCAUUCCCCGUUCGUUGCAAGCUCGAAUCCUCUUCCCCUGUCGAACAACCGCAUUUGAUUCACCUCCACGCCUCUUGCUUUUACGAAUUGAAGACGGCGGUGGUUUUGGUUGGAGAUGAGGAGGUUCACUUAGUGCCAAUGCCGAGUAAACAAAAGAAGUUUCCGUGCUUUUGGUGCUUUUCGGUUCCUACAGGACUGUACAAUUCCUGCUUAGGAAUGCUUAAUUUAAGGUGCCUAGCGAUUGUUUUUGAUCUCGACGAAACGCUGAUUGUCGCGAACACAAUGAAGUCGUUUGAGGAUAGAAUCGAAGCUCUUAGGGGUUGGCUUGCGCGGGAGACUGAUACGAUUCGGCAUUCGGGGAUGUCGGCUGAAUUAAGAAGGUAUAUAGAUGACCGGAUGCUGUUGAAGCAGUACACGGAGAGUGAUUGCGUCGUGGAUAAUGGAAAAAUGUUUAAGGUUCAAAUGGAAGAGGUUCCUCCUUUGUCUGAUGGCCAUGAGAAAGUUGUUCGGCCUGUGAUUAGGUUGCAGGAGAGGAAUAUUGUUCUUACUCGUAUCAAUCCUGAGAUUCGUGAUACCAGUGUGCUUGUGAGGUUACGUCCUGCAUGGGAGGAAUUGCGAAGUUAUUUGACUGCAAAAGGACGAAAACGCUUUGAAGUUUAUGUUUGUACCAUGGCUGAAAGAGAUUAUGCCCUAGAGAUGUGGAGGCUUCUUGAUCCAGAGGCACACCUGAUAGGCACAAAGCAACUCCUGGACCGUGUUGUUUGUGUUAAAUCCGGUUCUAGGAAAUCUUUGCUAAAUGUGUUCCGAGAUGGCAAGUGCCAUCCACAGAUGGCAAUGGUAAUUGAUGACCGUUCAAAGGUCUGGGAGGAUAAGGAUCAACCUCGAGUUCACGUAGUUCCUCCUUUUGCUCCGUAUUAUGCUCCUCAGGCAGAGACAGCAAAUGCAGUUCCUGUUCUCUGUGUAGCAAGAAAUGUUGCAUGCAAUGUCAGGGGUUUGUUUUUCAAAGAGUUUGAUGAGAAUGUAAUAAGGAAAAUAUCUGAAGUUUUUUAUGAAGAUGAGGUGGUAAACCUGCCUCUUGCUCCCGAUGUGAGCAAUCACUUGAUGUUAGAGGAUGCUGGUUUUGCUCCAAACGGGAAUGGUGGUGCGCCUAUCAGUGAAGGAAUGAAUGGAGUUGAAGUUGAGCGGAGACUGAAUCAAUUGUUCCUUCAGGAGGAGAAGCAUGUUUCGGACUCUUCCAUGCAUCUAGUAAUGAAUAACCCUGAGUUGAGGUCUGAAACCUCUCAGCCACCUGCUGCAAUUGUUCCCAAUGUUGUUGGUCCUGCAUCUUUGACAGCACCAUUGCCUUCUCAGAAACCUAGUUUGCUUGGAGCUCCUGGUCUGCUUUCAGCUCCCACCUUACUUGGAGCUUCUGUAAGAAGAGAGAGCAACACUAUUGAUAGUGAUUAUGACAUGAAGAGAAGAGCCCUUGGCUCAAAACAGACUUUAGACUUAAGGAACCAGAGCUCAGUCCAACCUCCACUCCUAUCUAAAGUACCUGCACAGAUAUAUUCAUCAUCAAUACUGCCUCAGGGAGGUUGGUUGGUGGAAGAAGACAACAAUAAAGCACAUCUAAAUGAUCGAUCAUCAGGCUCUGCUCAAGAAUCUGAUGCAACAAAAUCUGAUAAACUGCGAAAUCAGAAUCCAUUUUCUCAUAGUGCACCAGGUUCUGUUUCCAUUGGCUUACCAUCACAUGCAUCCCAACUGAAAGUUGAAGAGGCACGUGCUGGACUUGAUACUCAAAAACAGAAUGUUCUGCCUGCAGGUCAUUUAUCAGAGAUUGGCGGAACUCAGAAUCAUGUGUCUUCCACUGAAGGUGGAAAAUUGAAUCUUCUACCCUCCCAUUUAUCAAUAAGUGUUCUACAAGAAAUUGGACGAAGAUGUGGUUCGAAGGUUGAGUUCAGGACUGUGGUAAGCACGAGUAAGGAUUUGCAAUUUUCUGUUGAGGUUUUAUUCACCGGUGAGAAGAUUGGUGUUGGAAUGGGCAAGACAAGGAAGGAUGCUCAGCAACAAGCUGCUGAGCUUGCUCUUCAUAACCUGGCAGAAAAAUAUUUAGCAUAUAUAGCACCUCGUUCAGGAGCUGUGGAUAGAGAUUUCAAUAAACUUUCUCUUGGAACUGAAAAUGGAUUUCUGUGGGACGUGAAUCCUGCAUCAAGUGAAGCACUUAGAGAAGAUGGGUUGCCUAAAGAUAGUACUUCUGAGGUGGGGAUUCCUGAUGAUGCUUUCAGUACUUGAUUUGAUUUCUUUGUUUAAAAAAGGUGAUGCUUGGAUAAAGGGUAUGUGGGCAAGAAAUUUCCAGAUUAGAGGUAGUGGUUAUCUGGAGAGAAACCACUCCUCUUUGGAUUUUGCAUUGUACCAAGAUGUGAGAGCUAUAACACUGAAAGGAGAGUGAGUUGGCUUCAUGUCUGCUACUGCUGCCUUAACUGGCUCAAUUUAUCGUUUUUAAGAGGUUGCUGAAGUUGAACCUGGGAGUAAUUCAUCUAGCCUUGUAAAUCAACCAGUGCAAAAGCGUGCCAAUUCACCAAGAUCGUCUGAAUCCAUGCCAAGCAAACGAUCAAAGGAAGAAGUUCUGCGUCGAUUACGAAGUCUAUCAUCCUCACGGCAACCGAAAAAUGAGCAUCCGAUUUCAUGAAAAGCCAUGAGAAAUCGGAAGUAAUGAUUUUGGACAGAAGGUUUCGAGACUACACAUAAUUUUAUUAGCAUAGCAGAUGUGCAGAUUCCAAUCUUCUUUUCCAGGGUUGGAGUUAACUAAUGCUGGGGUGAAUAGUUUCUCUUCCUUCCCUUUUACUUCUCCUCUGGAUAUAUGGGCAAUUUAUUUUUUUUUGUCAUUUUGCCCUGUUAUUUACUGCUUUGUAAUCGGUCAUCUUAGCUUAUAAAAUAUCUCUAUAUAAAUGAUCAAGACUAGUUUCUUAACCUGA